rnacentral:rRNA from 1 species
GAUGAACGCUGGCGGCGUGCCUAAUACAUGCAAGUCGAGCGAACGGACGAGAAGCUUGCUUCUCUGAUGUUAGCGGCGGACGGGUGAGUAACACGUGGAUAACCUACCUAUAAGACUGGGAUAACUUCGGGAAACCGGAGUUAAUACCGGAUAAUAUUUUGAACGGCAUGGUUCAAAAGUGAAAGCCGGUCUUGCUGUCCCUUAUAGAUGGAUCCGCGCUGCAUUAGCUAGUUGGUAAGGUAACGGCUUACCAAGGCAACGAUGCAUAGCCGACCUGAGAGGGGGAUCGGCCACACUGGAACUGAGACACGGUCCAGACUCCUACGGGAGGCAGCAGUAGGGAAUCUUCCGCAAUGGGCGAAAGCCUGACGGAGCAACGCCGCGUGAGUGAUGAAGGUCUUCGGAUCGUAAAACUCUGUUAUUAGGGAAGAACAUAUGUGUAAGUAACUGUGCACAUCUUGACGGUACCUAAUCAGAAAGCCACGGCUAACUACGUG